GACGUAGGGUCCAAGCGUUGUCCGGAAUCACUGGGCGUAAAGGGAGCGUAGGCGGGUUCUUAAGUAAGGUGUUUAAUCCCGGGGCCCAACCCCGGACCGGCAUUUUAAACUGGGAAUCUUGAAUAGUGGAGAGGUCGGUGGAAUUGGAGGUGUAGCGGUGGAAUGCGUAGAGAUCUCCAAGAACACCAGUUGCGAAGGCGGCCGACUGGACACAUAUUGACGCUGAGGCUCGAAAGCAUGGGGAGCAAACAGG
rnacentral:rRNA from 1 species